AUUGAACGCUGGCGGCAGGCCUAACACAUGCAAGUCGAGCGGAUGAAGGGAGCUUGCUCCUGGAUUCAGCGGCGGACGGGUGAGUAAUGCCUAGGAAUCUGCCUGGCAUUGGGGGAUAACGUCCGGAAACGGGCGCUAAUACCGCAUACGACCUGAGGGUGCAGGUGGGGGAUCUUUGGACCUCACGCUAUCAGGUGAGCCUAGGUAGGAUUAGCUAGCUGGUUGGGUAAAGGCCUACCAAGCCGACGAUCCGUAACUGGUCUGAGAGGAUGAUCAGUCACACUGGAACUGAGACACGGACAAGACUCCUACGGGAGGCAGCAGUGGGGAAUAUGAGACAAUGGGCGAAAGCCUGAUCCAGCCAUGCCGCGUGUGUGAAGAAGGUCUUCGGAUUGUAAAGCACGUUUAGUUGGGAGGAAGGGCAGUAAGUUAAUACCUUGCUGUUUUGACGGUACCAACAGAAUAAGCACCGGCUAACUUCGUG
rnacentral:rRNA from 1 species